CUAUUCUCAAGCCGUGUAUUUAGCCAUGCUGAAGACUCGUAGGAAACGCAAGGCAGUUACCAAGGCUAUUAUAAAUAGCCAUCUCCUCUCUUUGCCGUCGACACAAGUUUUUGCACGCUCAGUUUUGCGAAAGCUCUGCCAAAUUUUCCUUUCACGCCUUUGCUUAUUUUUCUUCCUUUCCAGCAUUGUUCAUUUUAUUUAUUUCUUUUGCAAGCUUUACUUUCUCUUUUCCCUUGCAAUUUAUCUUUCCCGUUUUUAGCUUUUAGAUAUUUUUCGCAUAAUAGUUUCUACACCGGAAACUACUGUGCAACUUUAUACCGGAUUUAACCUUACGUUAUAUUCGAGUUUUAUUUCCUUGAUUUAUUUUACUGCUUAAUUGAAGAAUCGAAGAACAAAUCCUACCGGCUUGUGGUGGAGUGUUCAAGACCAUUGUAUUACGCAUUCAGGUUCUUUAAUUGUUAUUUAAUUUUUUAUGUUUUAUUCUAUUGUUUAUUCAUAUUGCCUGCCUGGAAUGAGUCUGUUUAUGC
rnacentral:lncRNA from 1 species